AGCAGCCGCGGUAAUUCCAGCUCCAAUAGCGUAUAUUAAAGUUGUUGCAGUUAAAAAGCUCGUAGUUGAAUUUCGGGGUUAGUAGGUUGGUCAUGCCUCUGGUAUGUACUGGUCUCACUGAUUCCUCCUUCCUGAUGAGCCGUAAUGCCAUUAAUUUGGUGUUGCGGGGAAUUUGGACUGUUACUUUGAAAAAAUUGAGUGUUUAAAGCAAGCUAACGCUUGAAUACAUUAGCAUGGAAUAAUGAAAUAGGACGUUCGAUCCUAUUUUGUGGUUUCUAGGAUUGACGUAAUGAUUAAUAGGGAUAGUUGGGGCAUUAGUAUUCAAUUGUCAGAGGUGAAAUUCUUAGGAUUUAUUGAAGACUAACUACUGCGAAAGCAUUUGCCUAAGGNUGUUUUCAUUAAUCAAGAACGAAGUUAGGGAUCGAAGCGAUCAGAUACCAUCG
rnacentral:rRNA from 1 species